AUUGAACGCUGGCGGCAGGCUUUACACAUGCAAGUCGAGCGAGCGGCGGACGGGUGAGUAAUGUCUGGGAAACUGCCUGAUGGAGGGGGAUAACUACUGGAAACGGUAGCUAAUACCGCAUACCAUCAGAUGUGCCCAGAUUGGAUUAGCUAGUCGGUGGGGUAAUGGCUAACCUAGGCGACGAUCCCUAGCUGGUCUGAGAGGAUGACCAGCCACACUGGGACUGAGACACGGUCCAGACUCCUACGGGAGGCAGCAGUGGGGAAUAUUGCACAAUGGGGGAAAGCCUGAUGCAGCCAUGCCGCGUGUGUGAAGAAGGCCUUCGGGUUGUAAAGUACUUUCGGCGGAGAAGCGGUACUCGCAGAAGAAGCACCGGCUAACUCCGUGCCAGCAGCCGCGGUAAUAC
rnacentral:rRNA from 1 species